rnacentral:rRNA from 1 species
ACAGUCACACAUUAGAUACCCGGUAGUCCAGGGUGUAAACGCUGCAGACUUGGUGUUGGAAGCCCGUUUGGGGGCAUUCAGUGCCGGAGAGAAGUUGUUAAGUCUGCUACUUGGGAGUACGUCCGCAAGGAUGAAACUUAAAGGAAUUGGCGGGGGAGCACCGCAACGGGAGGAGCGUGCGGUUUAAUUGGAUUCAACACCGUAAACUCACCAGGGAAGACUGUUACAUGAAGGCCGAGAUGAAGACUCUGCUAGAUUUUCAG